AGAGUUCCAGUACUCUGUGUCUCUAAGACUAACGCAACGCCUAAACCUAAUUCCUAAAUAAUCAAAAAGAGUAAAGACAGAAUCACAGAAACCCGUCACUAACGCCUAAGGCCCUAAACCAGCAGCCACCAGUCCUCGUCGACUUUCACCAGCCACCUCGCCCCGUCUCGCCUCUCCCUCUUGCCACAGUCAGCAGAUGGUAAGUUUCUUUUCUUGUUGAGUGUGAUUUUACUUGCAAAAGUUUCCACAAGCAAGCAAAAAGAUAGUCGAAUUCAGAAAAGGUCCUUCCUGUUUAUUUGAAAAGGUCCUACUUUUUUUUUACACUCGCAAUACUGAACUAGCAAUGGAUUUGUUUCCACAAAAGGUAAGUUUCAAUGAUCGAUCGAAUUCAGUGUUUUAACUUGUUCCCGAAUUUGAUUUGUCUUAGGUGCUUGGUAUUCGUUAUUAAUUUGUUGCCAAACGAUUUGUUGGUUUACAGAAAUUUUGGAUAUCUGAGUAUUGAUUAGUUGAUUUUAGAUUCAGUUUGACACAUUUGUUCGAUUAUUUCAUGGGGUUUCUGUUCCAAAAGUUGUUGAAAUAAGAAGUGCCAUUGAUUGUUUCACGAAAUGAAAGAAGAGGAGAUCUUUCUGACAACAUGGGAUGCUUUGCGGUCCAUUACAACUUGAUUCUUUGAUAGUAAGGAUUAACACAGAAUUUGCCUUUGUUUUAAGUUGCUUUGAGUUAUUUCAGUGUAUUUGAUUAAAAAUGUUUUUGCCUUUUGGAGUGGCUUUUUCUUUGUAUUUAUUAUCAAUGCUGAUUAGUGAUUAUCCUUGCUUGUUUACGUAUACUGGUUGCAGGUGAGACUGUGAAGUGAGACUGCGACUUUAAUUGCUGCAGUACAUAUGAGUACAGAAAUUGGACACUUCUUUUGACAAUUUCGCGUUUCAUUUCGGGUUUAUUGGUUGUUUUCUACCCAGGCUCCCUAAGUUUAUUUGGCCAGAAAAGCUUCAGUUAUAGUUGAUGCUGAAAUUUGGUUACGAAAGACUUCAUUAUAUGUCCUAAAUGUGUCAUUGACUGAAAUGUUUGUUUUGUUAUCAGUAAGGACGUUGUAAUAUGCUAUAUGCAUCAUUGAUACUGAAACUUCUGUUUGGUUAUCAUUUAAUUGAAGUACCAUAUUUUGAUCCUCUAGCAUGUCAUAUCUCCAGUGUUUUCUCCUUCAUAUUUUUAGUUGAGUUA
rnacentral:lncRNA from 1 species